GACGAACCGUGCGAACGUUGUUCGGAAUCACUGGGCUUAAAGGGCGCGUAGGCGGGCCCUCAAGUCCGGGGUGAAAUCCUCCCGCCUAACGGGAGAAGAGCCUCGGAGACUGAGGGCCUCGAGGGGGGUAGGGGCGUGCGGAACUAUGGGUGGAGCGGUGAAAUGCAUUGAUAUCCAUAGGAACUCCGGUGGCGAAGGCGGCACGCUGGACCCCUUCUGACGCUGAGGCGCGAAAGCCAGGGGAGCAAAC
rnacentral:rRNA from 1 species